rnacentral:rRNA from 1 species
UACGUAGGGUGCGAGCGUUGUCCGGAAUUACUGGGCGUAAAGAGCUCGUAGGUGGUUUGUCGCGUUGUCCGUGAAAACUCACAACUCAAUUGUGGGCGUGCGGGCGAUACGGGCAGACUGGAGUACUGCAGGGGAGACUGGAAGUUCCAUGGUGUAGCGGUGGUAAUGCGCAGGAUAUCAGGAGGAACACCCGUAGCGAAGGCGGCACUCUGGGCCGAUACUGACAGCUGAGGAGCGAAAGCGUGGGGAGCGAACAGGAUUGAGAAACCCAGUA